rnacentral:rRNA from 1 species
UACGUAGGGGGCAAGUGUUGUCCGGAUUUACUGGGCGUAAAGAGCGUGUAGGCGGCUAGAUAGGUCCGUUGUGAAAACUCGAGGCUCAACCUCGAGACGUCGAUGGAAACCAUCUGGCUAGAGUCCGGAAGAGGAGAGUGGAAUUCCUGGUGUAGCGGUGAAAUGCGCAGAUAUCAGGAAGAACACCCGUGGCGAAGGUGGCUCUCUGGGACGGUACUGACGCUGAGACGCGAAAGCGUGGGGAGCGAACAGG